rnacentral:rRNA from 1 species
AUUUGAAAUCUAGUACCUUCGGUGCUCGAGUUGUAAUUUGUAGAGGGAUACUUUGGGGCCGUUCCUUAUCUAUGUUCCUUGGAACAGGACGUCAUAGAGGGUGAGAAUCCCGUAUGAUGAGGAGUGCGGUUCUAUGUAAAGUGCUCUCGAAGAGUCGAGUUGUUUGGGAAUGCAGCUCUAAGUGGGUGGUAAAUUCCAUCUAAAGCUAAAUAUUGGCGAGAGACCGAUAGCGAACAAGUACAGUGAUGGAAAGAUGAAAAGAACUUUGAAAAGAGAGUGAAAAAGUACGUGAAAUUGUUGAAAGGGAAGGGCAUUUGAUCAGACAUGGUGUUUUGUGCCCUCCGCUCCUUGUGGGUGGGGGAAUCUCGCAGCUCACUGGGCCAGCAUCAUUUUUGGCGGCAGGAUAAAUCCUUUGGAAUGUAGCUUGCUUCGGGAAGUGUUAUAGCCAAGGGGAAUACUGCCAGCCGGGAUUGAGGACUGCGA